rnacentral:rRNA from 1 species
CCGAUAGCGAACAAGUACCGUGAGGGAAAGAUGAAAAGCACUUUGGAAAGAGAGUUAAACAGCACGUGAAAUUGUUAAAAGGGAAACGAUUGAAGUCAGUCGUGUGAAAGGUAUUCAGCCGUCUCUGGCGGUGUAUUUGCCUUUCACGGGUCAACAUCAGUUUGAUCCGGUAGAAAAAGGCGGGAGGAAGGUGGCACCCUCGGGUGUGUUAUAGCCUCCUGUCAUAUGUGCCGGACCAGACUGAGGAACGCAGCUUGCCGCAAGGCCGGGGUUCGCCCACGUACAAGCUUAGGAUGUUGACAUAAUGGCUU